rnacentral:rRNA from 1 species
AGGGGCCUAAUCUGCAGUCGACGCUUCUUUCCUCCGAGUGCUUGCACUCAAUUGGAAAGAGGAGUGGCGGACGGGUGAGUAACACGUGGGUAACCUACCCAUCAGAGGGGGAUAACACUUGGAAACAGGUGCUAAUACCGCAUAACAGUUUAUGCCGCAUGGCAUAAGAGUGAAAGGCGCUUUCGGGUGUCGCUGAUGGAUGGACCCGCGGUGCAUUAGCUAGUUGGUGAGGUAACGGCUCACCAAGGCCACGAUGCAUAGCCGACCUGAGAGGGUGAUCGGCCACACUGGGACUGAGACACGGCCCAGACUCCUACGGGAGGCAGCAGUAGGGAAUCUUCGGCAAUGGACGAAAGUCUGACCGAGCAACGCCGCGUGAGUGAAGAAGGUUUUCGGAUCGUAAAACUCUGUUGUUAGAGAAGAACAAGGACGUUAGUAACUGAACGUCCCCUGACGGUAUCUAACCAGAAAGCCACGGCUAACUACGUGCCAGCAGCCGCGGUAAUACGUAGGUGGCAAGCGUUGUCCGGAUUUAUUGGGCGUAAAGCGAGCGCAGGCGGUUUCUUAAGUCUGAUGUGAAAGCCCCCGGCUCAACCGGGGAGGGUCAUUGGAAACUGGGAGACUUGAGUGCAGAAGAGGAGAGUGGAAUUCCAUGUGUAGCGGUGAAAUGCGUAGAUAUAUGGAGGAACACCAGUGGCGAAGGCGGCUCUCUGGUCUGUAACUGACGCUGAGGCUCGAAAGCGUGGGGAGCAAACAGGAUUAGAUACCCUGGUAGUCCACGCCGUAAACGAUGAGUGCUAAGUGUUGGAGGGUUUCCGCCCUUCAGUGCUGCAGCAAACGCAUUAAGCACUCCGCCUGGGGAGUACGACCGCAAGGUUGAAACUCAAAGGAAUUGACGGGGGCCCGCACAAGCGGUGGAGCAUGUGGGUUUAAUUCGAAGCAACGCGAAGAACCCUUACCAGGUCUUGACAUCCUUUGACCACUCUAGAGAUAGAGCUUUUCCCUUCGGGGACAAAGUGACAGGGUGGUGCAUGGUUUGUCGUCAGCCUCGUGUUCGGUGAAGAAUGUUUGGGGUUAAAGUCCCCGCAAACGGAGGCGGCAACCCCUUAUUU